GCAUAACGUAAGCGAAACAGUUUUAGUAUGCACAUAUCACAAAAGAAAUGCCAACUCUCCUAGCCAUUAGUACUAGACGAGGGAGAGGCGGCCGAGAGAAUGAAGCCCGUCGGCGUCACCACUCGCUAGGGGAAGUAGGACAUUGGGGAUCAAGGGCGGGGCUUUCGCAGAGUUGUGAUAGGCGCUUGGGCUAGAUGGUGAGAUGUAUUGAUUUGUUGUUCAUAUUAGAGCUUGGCUCGGCUCAUUAGUCAUUGAGUUCGAGUCGAUUCGAGCGGUCACAAGCUACUUGUUUAGCUCGCGAGUUUUGAGUUUUGAUUCCAGCCCUAAUAGUUUCGUCGGCAAAACUGCUAGCCGGGUACUUCAGGAGCGUGGGUUCCAUACUACCAUAUGUACGGUAACGGCGGUGUUUGUUUCAGCUUUAGGACCAGAUUCAGCUUUGAAAAAGCUAAAUUUGAUAAAUACUUUCUCCGUUCGGAAAUAGUUGUCAUCAAAAUCUCCUCUAAUCUCUCCUAUAUAUAAUAAUAAUCUUUAUCUUUACCUCUUUAUCUUUAUUUUUAUCUUUAUCUUUAUCUUUAUCUUUACCUACUAAUAAAGCAGCGAUUGCUUCUGGUCGUACGUCGUCAGCGUUUUUGCAAAACAGUCCCUCUGUUUCUUUGAAAUAAACCCGCAGUCCCUGUUUAAGUGGCACUCUGGAAAACGUUUCAUUUUUACCUAAACACCCUUGCAUUUGUUAAAAAUUAUGCCCAUGACCCUAUCUCUUAUUGGACUGGCUCACCACCGCGCAUCUCGCCGCUUAUCAUGCCGUUCUCCACCGCCGGGCACGCGCCGCCGGCGCCGCGGCGGGCGUCCGCGCCGAGGCGGGGCACCGGCCGGAGCACGGCGUGCACUCGAUGGACACCGGAGCGAAGCUUGUUUGAGGCGCGAGAGGCAGGAGGCUGGAUCUCGGCGCGGCCCCCCUUAACACACAGCCCAGCCGCCGCCCCGCUGCCACGAACAUCCCAGCCGCGGAGAGGUGUGAGAUCAGGGGCGGGGAGGUUGGAGCGAGCUUACGGCUUCGUCCUCGGUCGUGGAUGCGUAGAUGAACAGGAGGCAAGCGUUCGUCUCCUUCGGUCUCGAUGCGCAUGAGCAGCUGGGCUGGGCCCUCGGCGCAACGUGCAGGCGAGCAGGCGUGCAGUGGCUAGGUGUGAUGCGUGCCACGCGCGAACCAGUGCGGUUAACGCGACGAGCAGAGUGUCCAGGCGAGCGGGGGGCUUGCGGGUCAACGCAUCCUGGCGAGCGGUCGUCGCUGCGCUCGAGCGCUGCUCCCUCGCGUUGGAAGAAGAAAGUGCAGCGGCAACUCUCCAGGGACUUGCGGCGGGGCGACAUGGAUCCGACAGGGACGGCCUGGAUCUGGACAGGGUUGAGGAGGGCGCGGCUCCUAGGGUUGGACUGUUGGACUUGAGCUCGAUGCAACAUCCAUGGCAGCUCGUGGUCCUGUAGCAACGAGAAGAGAGAGGGGGUUAAGAGAGAGAGAAGAAAGAGGAAGGAGGAGGAAAAAGGAGAAGGGAGCAGAGGCAGGGGGCGGCGCGGCUUGCUACUGGUGCUCGCCGACGCAGGCGGCACGGGGAGGCUCGGGCGCUCGUGCAGCUCCAUGGGAGGAGCUCAUGGACGGCCGGAUGGAUGGAUAAGAGGAAGGAUAGCAGCGCCGCUGGGAGGAAUGGCAACGUGGAUAACGUCCACACAAUGGGUAGCUCUCGGUGGGGAUUCUUGGUGUGGAUUGCUUUUUUU
rnacentral:rRNA from 1 species